AUUGGUCAAUGGGUGAGAGCCUGAACCAGCCAUGCCGCGUGCAGGAAGAAGGCCUUCUGGGUUGUAAACUGCUUUUGCCAGGGGAUAAAAAUACCUUGCGAGGUAAAUUGAAGGUACCUGGUGAAUAAGCCACGGCUAACUACGUGCCAGCAGCCGCGGUAAUACGUAGGGGGCGAGCGUUGUCCGAAGUUACUGGGCGUAAAGCGCGCGUAGGCGGUCAUUUAAGUUCGGGGUGAAAGGUUCAGCGCUCAACGCGAACAGUGCCUUGAAUACUGGGUGACUUGAGUUCGGGAGAGGGCAGUGGAAUUCCUGGUGUAGCGGUGAAAUGCGUAGAUAUCAGGAGGAACACCGAUGGCGAAGGCAGCUGCCUGGCCUAGAACUGACGCUGAGGUGCGAAAGCGUGGGGAGCGAAC
rnacentral:rRNA from 1 species